AUUGAACGCUGGCGGCAGGCCUAACACAUGCAAGUCGAGCGGUAGAGAGAAGCUUGCUUCUCUUGAGAGCGGCGGACGGGUGAGUAAUGCCUAGGAAUCUGCCUGGUAGUGGGGGAUAACGUCCGGAAACGGACGCUAAUACCGCAUACGUCCUACGGGAGAAAGCAGGGGACCUUCGGGCCUUGCGCUAUCAGAUGAGCCUAGGUCGGAUUAGCUAGUUGGUGGGGUAAUGGCUCACCAAGGCGACGAUCCGUAACUGGUCUGAGAGGAUGAUCAGUCACACUGGAACUGAGACACGGUCCAGACUCCUACGGGAGGCAGCAGUGGGGAAUAUUGGACAAUGGGCGAAAGCCUGAUCCAGCCAUGCCGCGUGUGUGAAGAAGGUCUUCGGAUUGUAAAGCACUUUAAGUUGGGAGGAAGGGCAGUAAAUUAAUACUUUGCUGUUUUGACGUUACCGACAGAAUAAGCACCGGCUAACU
rnacentral:rRNA from 1 species